CAAUAGCGUAUAUUUAAGUUGUUGUAGUUAAAAAGCUCGUAGUCGGAUUUUGGCUGAGAACGAUCGGUCCGCCGUUAGGUGUGCACUGAUUGGUCUCAGCUUCCUGGUGAGGAGGUGUGCUUCACGGCCACUUAGUCACCGUGGUUACUUUGAAAAAAUUAGAGUGUUCAAAGCGGGCUUACGCUUGAAUAUAUUAGCAUGGAAUAACACCAUAGGACUCCUGUCCUAUUUCGUUGGUCUCGGGACGGGAGUAAUGAUUAAGAGGAACAGUUGGGGGCAUUCGUAUUUCAUUGUCAGAGGUGAAAUUCUUGGAUUUAUGAAAGACGAACUUCUGCGAAAGCAUUUGCCAAGGAUGUUUUCAUUGA
rnacentral:rRNA from 1 species